GCGCCUCCUUUUGACGGCGUGCCGUACUAUUUAUCUGGCAACCCUGCUACUCAGAUCAAAGAGUCAGAAGUGGUCAGAAAUCAGACGUUGACGGUCAUAAACGAGACGCUACAGAAAAUACACGUAAGGAGAUUAUCGAGGAAGGAAAGGGUCUUCUUUUAAUGGGCAACCCAAUUUUCAUCUACGAACAGGUAACCCAAAAUCUUGUUGAUAUGUACUAACAAACGAGACGUAAUACGCAUGGUGAAAGACAUACUGCGAAGUAUUUUUUCCGCCAUGUUUGUAUCGGCUCAAACGACGUGAUAAACCGUUGGAUCUUACACCGACCGUUCGAAUGCUGUAAUGUAACCGUAGACUGAUAAUUACAUGUCAACUGCUGUUAAAAACUGAUUGAAGUGUUUCCAGUAAUUAUUCUAUUUUAGAAAACUAAAUUAGAAUUGGUAAGCGGAGGAACGUUUAUUAUUUAAUUCAUAGAGACAAAUCACCAGUCAGAGCAAAUUCGUCUCCGUUGAGAUUCUCGCAUUCUCAUCAAUCCUGGGUCUUCGCAUCGUAGUUGCAGUCCUGGCAUCUUAGCUUAGCCUUCGUUGGAGCACCGCAGCAUUGCAGAGCAUCGCAGCAUUGCAGAGCAGCGCAGCAUUGCAGAGCAGCGCAGCAUUGCAGAGCAGCGCAGCAUUGCAGAGCAUCGCAGCAGAGCAGCGCAGCAUUGCAGAGCAUCGCAGCAUUGCAGAGCAUCGCAUCUUCAGCGGGCUGAGAGGAAGGCUGUGCAGGGCUGAGCAGCUGAUCAUCUUUGAGAUGCGAGAGCUCAAUGGAGAUAUCUGUUUUGCCGAUAAUAUAAUUGUGUUUUU